UACGAAGGGGGCUAGCGUUGCUCGGAAUGACUGGGCGUAAAGGGCGCGUAGGCGGACGGCUUUGUCGGGCGUGAAAUUCCAGGGCUUAACCUUGGGGCUGCGUUCGAGACGGGUUGUCUAGAGUUUGGAAGAGGGUCGUGGAAUUCCCAGGUGUAGAGGUGAAAUUCGUAGAUAUUGGGAAGAACACCGGUGGCGAAGGCGGCGACCUGGUCCUUGACUGACGCUGAGGCGCGAAAGCGUGGGGAGCAAACAGG
rnacentral:rRNA from 1 species